rnacentral:lncRNA from 1 species
GGUCCCUCAUUUUUUCUUUUUCUCAAUUGGAUCUUUAUUUUUGAAAAAUUGAAGCAAUUAGGUCACUGUCGUUAGUUCCAUACUCACACUAUCAAAAAGGGUGACACGUGUCAGCUCGUGAUUUUUUUGAAUUUUUUAAAUAUAUUUUUAAUUAUUUUUAUAUUUAUUUUUUAUUUUUUUUCUUUAAAAAAUAAAAUUUACCACGUGUUAAGUUGACAUUGUGCCACGUAGCAAUGAUAGUGUGAGGUGGCACUAACAGUGCCACGUGUCACCGUCAA